UAAUAAGUGUUUUAUAGCACUUUUUAAAUCCAUAUCCACCUUGUGUGCAAUGUCAGUCGAUCUUCUUCAUGGAGAUCGACCAAACAUCAACCUUUAUUUUUAACUCUUUGUCUGAAAAAUAUUAUGAAUAAACAAUUCAAAAUA
rnacentral:misc_RNA from 1 species